AUUGAACGCUGGCGGCAUGCCUUACACAUGCAAGUCGAACGGUAACGGGCCUUCGGGUGCCGACGAGUGGCGAACGGGUGAGUAAUAUAUCGGAACGUGCCCAGUAGUGAGGGAUAGCCCGGCGAAAGCCGGAUUAAUACCGCAUACGACCUGAGGGUGAAAGCGGGGGAUUGCAAGACCUCGCGCUUUUGGAGCGGCCGAUAUCAGAUUAGCUAGUUGGUGGGGUAAAGGCCUACCAAGGCAACGAUCUGUAGUUGGUCUGAGAGGACGACCAGCCACACUGGGACUGAGACACGGCCCAGACUCCUACGGGAGGCAGCAGUGGGGAAUUUUGGACAAUGGGCGCAAGCCUGAUCCAGCAAUGCCGCGUGCAGGAAGAAGGCCUUCGGGUUGUAAACUGCUUUUGUCAGGGAAGAAAUCUUCUGGGUUAAUACCUCGGGAGGAUGACGGUACCUGAAGAAUAAGCACCGGCUAACUACGUGCCAGCAGCCGCCGUAAAAC
rnacentral:rRNA from 1 species